UGUAGGAGGGCACCACUUUGGUGGGAAACCCUUUGGAAUUGGGAUGCUUCAAUAAACUCCCUCCUAAAUUGUGUGACAGUCCUGGAACCUCUGGAACCCUCUGGAAAGCAGGACCCUCAGGGUCGGCUUUUUGGGGGCGUUUUAGGGGCUUUUGGGAAGGAAAAGGGGUCCUGUGGGUGUUGGUGGGCAGGGCAGGCACCACUUUGGUGGGAACCGCCCCAGAAUUGGGAUUCUUCAAUAAACUCCCCCCUAAAUUGUGUGACAGCUCCUCCUGUCCCUGUGCCACCCCCCGGAGCCUCUGGAACCCUCUGGAAAGCAGGACCCUCGGGGUCGGCUUUUUGGGGGCAUUUUAGGAGGGAAAAGGGGUCCUGUGGGUGUUGCAGGUGGGCAGGGUGGGCACCACUUUGGUGGGAAACCCCCUGGAAUUGGGAUUCUUCAAUAAACUCCCCCCUAAAUUGUGUGACACCCCCCCUGUCUCCCUGUGCCACCCCCUGGAGCCUCUGGAACCCUCUGGAAAGCAGGACCCUCGGGGUCAGCUUUUUAGGGGCGUUUUAGGGGCUUUUGGGAGGGAAAAGGGGUCCUGUGGGUGUUGCAGGAGGGCACCACUUUGGUGGGAAACCCCCUGGAAUUGGGAUGUUUCAAUAAACUCCUCCCUAAAUUGUG